AGUGGUGAAUGGAUGAUCCCUUCUCAGCACCGCACACUCGUGAUUCAACUUUAUUUUUUCAUACAAGCUAGGUAUGAAAAACAGUAUGCUGUGAUCCUGUGUAGCUAAUCCAGUCUUCAGAGAAACCCUUUGUGUCUGCCACUGAAAACAGGUCCAUCACCUUCAAACUCCAGAUGGAACAUCAGCACUUCAAAGGAGCAUUACUACAUUCUGCCACAGCGCAAAAACUAUAAUCAUAAAAGAAAUCAGUGCAGUUUUUUCUUGAAGAAGAAGAAGAAGAAGAAGAAGAAGAAGAAGAAGA